rnacentral:rRNA from 1 species
GACAGAGGAGCCAAGCGUUGUCCGGAAUUACUGGGCGUAAAGGGCGCGUAGGCGGCAUGGCAAGUCGGGAGUGAAAGCCCGGGGCUCAACCCCGGAACGGCUUUCGAAACUGCCAAGCUAGAGUACGGAAGGGGCAACUGGAAUUCCCAGUGUAGCGGUGAAAUGCGUAGAUAUUGGGAAGAACACCGGAGGCGAAGGCGGGUUGCUGGGCCGAUACUGACGCUGAGGCGCGAAAGCCAGGGGAGCAAACGGG